UAAAUAAAGGCGAAAGCUGGAACACUAUGAACUGGGGUGCCCAAAUUAAACGUACUGGACCGUUCACGGGUCCGAAAAUGCCAUUCAGGUCAUAGAGAUUGCUCUGGGUACCGAUCCCCCAGGAUCUAGUAUUGGGAUCAGGAGCAGCACAUGGAUGUUGAUCCAGAUCAUCUCUCCCACAACUGACCGUGAGACCAGCCCCACAUCCAUUGUCCAUGAUGUGCUUUGCUUCUGGGUAACUCAGCCACAUUCUCCCUGAAGACACAAGGCAAGUUGGCACAUGUCACCACUUGAAAGGGCUU
rnacentral:lncRNA from 1 species